AACGUAGGUGGCGAGCGUUAUCCGGAUUCACUGGGCGUAAAGCGCCUGCAGGCGGCCUGGCAAGUGGGACGUGAAAUCUCCCGGCUCAACCGGGAGGGGCCGUUCCAUACUGCGAGGCUGGAGGGCAGAAGAGGGAAGUGGAAUUCCCGGUGUAGUGGUGAAAUGCGUAGAGAUCGGGAGGAACACCAGUGGCGAAGGCGGCUUCCUGGUCUGCCCCUGACGCUGAGAGGCGAAAGCUAGGGGAGCGAAC
rnacentral:rRNA from 1 species